CUUAGAGUUAGGAAGACCUGAGUUUGAAUCCUGCCUCGGAUAUACUUAUUAUUAGCUGUGCGGCCCUGGACUCAAGCCUCUAUCACUCUGUUCCUCAUCUGUAAAAUGGAGAUAAUAGUUGCAUCAUUACAUGAUGCAUAUGUCUAUAUGUGCUAUCAUUACUAUUAUGUCAGUCCUAUGAGACAUGCUGGCAGCCCAGAGAAGAAAAAUACCCAAAACAGUUGUUGUGUAUAUCACAGUCCUGCCUUCUUUUUUUAUUGUCUUUAGUAAAAAGCAGUGACCCGAUCUCUAAUUCUCAGAACAUGUUAGAGUGAUAUGAACCCCCAAACAAUGAGACAUUCUCAGCAUGGGGUGAAAGGACUAGAGGAUGAGUCACCAGGCAGCAGGCAGGGACAAAGCUAUCGGCGACCUUGAAAUAAAUGCCUGUGGCUUUUUAAAUGCCUGUGUUUGGCUGAACCUGCCUGACUGCACCCAGGUGCUGAGCACCAUCACUGAACUAACAAGGAGAUUUAGAGGAAGUGGAGCCCAGGCUCAGCUAGCCUGCUGUUUGACUGUCAUGCUGGGGAUUAAUAUUGGAGGUCAGGAGAUGGAAUGGCCAGCCCUUGAAGUGAUGAAGGAUGCUCUGAACUCUGCCAGAACUGAUGAGGAUGGGAUCUAGACCCCAAAAAGAAAAAACCCUGGACUUUCCCACAUGGCCAAAUCCCAGGCCUUCUGCUGAGGCUAUAAUCCCAUUAACUGGACUUUCAUUGUGGCUACACCCAAUCUCCCAAUUCUCUGUUACCCUUAACCUAGCCCUCCAUUGUCUUACCUCCCCAUGGCCCCUGAAUACUUCCCACCCUUAAUCCUAUCUAGGCUCCUUUCUCCCUUGGCCAUGUGGUCCAGGUCCCUGGAGUUCUAUUACCUCAUAGACUACUUGGCCACUCCUAAAUCCCUCCCACAGUCUUUCUAUAUAUAAAGUCCAUCUUGUCUCCAUUAAGAUGCUCAGAUUCUUAUAAUCUAGCCAAUAGCUCACUAAUGUUCCUUAAGAGUCUGCCCAACAUGACAAAUGUUCUAAUAAAUCUCGUCUUUGGCUAAAAGAAGGGUUGGGC
rnacentral:lncRNA from 1 species